GGGUUNNNNNNUUUUUAGCACUUUGUCAAAACAGGCUCCGAAUUCGCCCUUAGAGUUUGAUCCUGGCUCAGAUUGAACGCUGGCGGCAUGCUUUACACAUGCAAGUCGAACGGCAGCGGGGGCUUCGGCCUGCCGGCGAGUGGCGAACGGGUGAGUAAUGCAUCGGAACGUGCCCAUGUCGUGGGGGAUAACGUAUCGAAAGGUACGCUAAUACCGCAUACGUCCUGAGGGAGAAAGCGGGGGACUCGCAAGAGCCUCGCGCGAUUGGAGCGGCCGAUGUCGGAUUAGCUAGUUGGUGAGGUAAAGGCUCACCAAGGCGACGAUCCGUAGCGGGUCUGAGAGGAUGAUCCGCCACACUGGGACUGAGACACGGCCCAGACUCCUACGGGAGGCAGCAGUGGGGAAUUUUGGACAAUGGGCGCAAGCCUGAUCCAGCCAUGCCGCGUGAGUGAAGAAGGCCUUCGGGUUGUAAAGCUCUUUCGGCCGGGAAGAAAUCGUGUUCUCUAACAUAGGACAUGGAUGACGGUACCGGACUAAGAAGCACCGGCUAACUACGUGCCAGCAGCCGCGGUAAUACUUAGGGUGCGAGCGUUAAUCGAAAUACUGGGCGUAAAGCGUGCCCACGCGGUUUUGUAAAAAAAUGUGAAAUCCCCGGGCUUAACCCUGGAACUGCUUUUUUGACUGCAAGCUUGAAUACGGCAAAGGGGGUGGAAUUCCCCGUGUGAAAUAAAAUCCCUAAAAAUUUAAGAACACCUUUGGCAAAGGGACCCCUCGGCUGUGUAUUGAUUUCUAGCCCCAAAGCUUGGAGGAAAGCC
rnacentral:rRNA from 1 species